rnacentral:rRNA from 1 species
UACGUAGGGGGCGAGCGUUGUCCGGAUUUAUUGGGCGUAAAGAGCGUGUAGGCGGCCAGGUAGGUCCGUUGUGAAAACUCGAGGCUCAACCUCGAGACGUCGAUGGAAACCAUCUGGCUAGAGUCCGGAAGAGGAGAGUGGAAUUCCUGGUGUAGCAGUGAAAUGCGUAGAGAUGUGGAGGAACACCGAUGGCGAAGGCAGCCCCCUGGGCUAACACUGACGCUCAGGCACGAAAGCGUGGGGAGCAAACAGG